GACGAACGCUGGCGGCGUGCUUAACACAUGCCAGUCGAACGAAGAGCGAUGGAAGCUUGCUUCUAUCAAUCUUAGUGGCGAACGGGUGAGUAACGCGUAAUCAACCUGCCCUUCAGAGGGGGACAACAGUUGGAAACGACUGCUAAUACCGCAUACGAUCUAACCUCGGCAUCGAGGAUAGAUGAAAGGUGGCCUCUACAUGUAAGCUAUCACUGAAGGAGGGGAUUGCGUCUGAUUAGCUUGUUGGAGGGGUAACGGCCCACCAAGGCGAUGAUCAGUAGCCGGUCUGAGAGGAUGAACGGCCACAUUGGGACUGAGACACGGCCCAGACUCCUACGGGAGGCAGCAGUGGGGAAUCUUCCGCAAUGGACGAAAGUCUGACGGAGCAACGCCGCGUGAGUGAUGACGGCCUUCGGGUUGUAAAGCUCUGUUAAUCGGGACGAAAGGCCUUCUUGCGAAUAGUGAGAAGGAUUGACGGUACCGGAAUAGAAAGCCACGGCUAACUACGUG
rnacentral:rRNA from 1 species